AUCUUUCACAAUCAUAUACCUUAGACAAUCAAUCAAGCCGAAUAUACUUGGAAAUGGAGAAGGGUCAAGCCAAGCUUAGCGCAAUGGUCUUUCUAUUGGUGAUUGCAUCCAGUCUUGCCGUCUCACAUGCUCAAACAAGAGUUGCACCAGGAGAGAGCUGGGAUCUCUCGGAUCUUCGGAAAGGACCAGGAGAAACUUGUAUUGGAUCUUGUCCUGUUCCGCAGCGUCCCGCCUUGGUAAAUGGCAAAUGCGUGUGUGUUCCGCCUCAAAGAGAAAAACUUGUAUGAGGAGGAGAGGAAGCAAAAAAGAAAAGGGAAUUUCGGUCUUAAUAAAA